CCUCCAUCCAGUUCUCCGUCAUUGCUCCACCCUCCUGCAGUUCAUACGAGUUUUAGAAACAGUGAUUUGGCAUAAAAGAGAUGCUUACCUUCAGUAAGUAUUGAGUGAGCAAGCUUCCCUUUGUCGCACCCACACGACCACCAUGACCAGGACCAUUGAUGGGUAAGUCCGGUCUCCGGGAUUUCAGAGGAUCAUUUCGAGCCUUUUCUCGUUGACGCUUGCGGCUUGGUUCGUCUCUGAACAUAGGCAGAGCAUGCGGAUUUCUAACCACUGGUGGAGCUUCAAAGUCGUCCACGGAUUUUUUUCGUGGAGCCCGCCCAACACAAACCAGCGCUCCUCUCUUGCUCAAAACCGGGUCGUACAACACCAAGAGGAAAUGAACAUCUAAAUGCCAGAGUCAGUACCUGAUUCAAUCGCGGAUGCCAAGUACAGCAAACAACACUUCCUGACGAGGAUAUCCCGGUUUUCCGAACAAUCUCAAGUUGCCUUUUGUCAAAGAAGUAAAGCUGUCCACCGGCAUUUCCUCCCUUCUCAACAGAAGUACCAGUUAGAAUUAGGUGCUCAUCUGGACUGAAGGCCAAAUUCGUUUGUGCGUAAAAACAAGGAAGCCCUGAAAACACCUUCAGAGGUUCUCGAGCUUUCCGGAUGUCCCAAACCUGGAGCAAGGUGUCAGCGGAAGAAACAUAAAACGAAAAAUACGAAAACUAGCUUUUAGAGUA